rnacentral:rRNA from 1 species
GACGAACGCUGGCGGCGUGCCUAAUACAUGCAAGUUGAGCGCUGAAGGUUGGUACUUGUACCGACUGGAUGAGCAGCGAACGGGUGAGUAACGCGUGGGGAAUCUGCCUUUGAGUGGGGGACAACAUUUGGAAACGAAUGCUAAUACCGCAUAAAAACUUUAAACACAAGUUUUAAGUUUGAAAGAUGCAAUUGCAUCACUCAAAGAUGAUCCCGCGUUGUAUUAGCUAGUUGGUGAGGUAAAGGCUCACCAAGGCGAUGAUACAUAGCCGACCUGAGAGGGUGAUCGGCCACAUUGGGACUGAGACACGGCCCAAACUCCUACGGGAGGCAGCAGUAGGGAAUCUUCGGCAAUAGACGAAAGUCUGACCGAGCAACGCCGCGUGAGUGAAGAAGGUUUUCGGAUCGUAAAACUCUGUUGGUAGAGAAGAACGUUGGUGAGAGUGGAAAGCUCAUCAAGUGACGGUAACUACCCAGAAAGGGACGGCUAACUACGUG